UUGCUUUCAUGAUGUAUAACCUUGUACUAGAACAUAUGCAAGGUUGCUUUCAUGAUGUAUAACCUUGUACUAGAACAUAUGCAAGGUUGCUUUCAUGUAAUAUGCAAUAUCCCACACCUCCUUUAUUUGUCUUUAUUUUUUGUCAUUCUAUACCAUUAUGCAUAUUUUACCAUUUAAUAUAUUACCAUAUUUUCCCCCUUUACACAUUCUCCCUACUAACCCCACCCCCCUUUUUCCCUCUACCCACCCCAGGUGCCAUGUUAGGAAUACCCGCUUUAAACCAACACUCUAACAGUGUCAGCGGUCUCAUUGUUAUUAUAUGGCAAUCCAACCUAUACACCAAACACUUAAAGCCGCAUUGUCAACAGUUUACUUCCUGUUGAUAACAUAACAUUCUGCAAUGAUUUUUAAUUGAAACGUGAAAAAAUAUUAAAAACUUUUUAAAGCAGUGAAAUAUCUUUAGCACAGUAUGAAUACAAACUGUGAAAGCAUGGCCUAUCGAUCCUUUAGUCUUUAGGAGUUUUAAGCUAGAGGUGUCAGAAAAGUUACCACAGGGGUAACUGGCUUGUGGCAGCCAAGCGUUCAUAGCGACGUU
rnacentral:ncRNA from 1 species